rnacentral:rRNA from 1 species
GAGGAAAAGAAACUAACAAGGAUUCCCCUAGUAACUGCGAGUGAAGCGGGAAAAGCUCAAAUUUAAAAUCUGGUAGUCUUUGGCUGCCCGAGUUGUAAUCUAGAGAAGUGUUAUCCGCACUGGACCGUGUACAAGUCUCCUGGAAUGGAGCGUCAUAGAGGGUGAGAAUCCCGUCUUUGACACGGACUACCAGGGCUUUGUGAUGCGCUCUCAAAGAGUCGAGUUGUUUGGGAAUGCAGCUCUAAAUGGGUGGUAAAUUCCAUCUAAAGCUAAAUAUUGGCGAGAGACCGAUAGCGAACAAGUACCGUGAGGGAAAGAUGAAAAGAACUUUGGAAAGAGAGUUAAACAGUACGUGAAAUUGUUGAAAGGGAAACGCUUGAAGUCAGUCGUGUUGGCCAGGGAUCAACCUUGCUUCUUGCUUGGUGUACUUUCUGGUUAAUGGGUCAGCAUCAAUUUUGACCAGUGGAAAAAGACUAGGGGAAUGUGGCAUCUUCGGAUGUGUUAUAGCCCUUGGUUGCAUACACUGGUUGGGAUUGAGGAACUCAGCACGCCGCAAGGCCGGGUUUUUACCACGUUCGUGCUUAGGAUGCUGGCAUAAUGGCUUUAAUCGACCCG